rnacentral:rRNA from 1 species
AGUGAACGCUGGCGGUAGGCCUAACACAUGCAAGUCGAACGACAGCACAGUAAGAGUUUGCUCUUACGGGUGGCGAGUGGCGGACGGGUGAGGAAUACAUCGGAAUCUACUUUUUCGUGGGGGAUAACGUAGGGAAACUUACGCUAAUACCUCAUACGACCUACGGGUGAAAUCAGUGGAUCUUCGGACCUUGCGCGUUUGAAUGAGCCGAUGUUGGAUUAGCUAGUUUGCUGGGUAAAGGCCCACCAAGGCGACGAUCCGUUGCUGGUCUGAGAUGAUGGACAGCCAAACUGGAACUGGAACACGGUCCAGAAUCCUAAGGGAAGGCGGAGUGGGGAAAAUUGGACAAAGGGGGGAAAGCUGAACAAAGCAUAGCGCGUGGGUGGAGGAAGCUUUCGGGUUGGAAAGACCUUUUGAUGGGAAAGAAAAGAAGGAGGUUAAUACCCCGCUGGUCUGAAGGUAACCAAAGAAUAAGCACAGGCUAAAUUAGUG